rnacentral:rRNA from 1 species
CCUACGGGUGGCUGCAGUGGGGAAUUUUGGGCAAUGGGCGCAAGCCUGACCCAGCAACGCCGCGUGAAGGAUGAAAUCCCUCUGGGAUGUAAACUUCGAAAGUCGGGAAAGAAAUCGCCAUGGAUAACACCCGUGGUGGAUGACGGUACCCGACGUAAGCCCCGGCUAACUACGUGCCAGCAGCCGCGGUAAUACGUAGGGGGCAAGCGUUGUCCGGAAUUACUGGGCGUAAAGGGCGCGUAGGCGGCAUGAAAGCCCGGGGCUCAACCCCGGAACUGCUUUCGAAACUGCCAAGCUAGAGUACGGAAGGGGCAACUGGAAUUCCCAGUGUAGCGGUGAAAUGCGUAGAUAUUGGGAAGAACACCGGAGGCGAAGGCGGGUUGCUGGGCCGAUACUGACGCUCAUGCACGAAAGCGUGGGGAGCAAACAGGAUUAGAUACCCUGGUAGUC